rnacentral:rRNA from 1 species
AGGCUGCAACUCGCCUACAUGAAGUCGGAAUUGCUAGUAAUCGCGGAUCAGCAUGCCGCGGUGAAUACGUUCCCGGGCCUUGUACACACCGCCCGUCACACCAUGAGAGCCGGUAACACCCGAAGUCAGUAGCCUAACCGCAAGGGGGGCGCUGCCGAAGGUGGGAUUGGUAAUUGGGGUGAAGUCGUAACAAGGUAGC